UACGGAGGAUCCAAGCGUUAUCCGGAUUUAUUGGGUUUAAAGGGUGCGUAGGCGGCUUUUUAAGUCAGGGGUGAAAGACGGUGGCUCAACCAUCGCAGUGCCUUUGAUACUGAAGAGCUUGAUUAAACUUGAGGUAGGCGGAAUGUGACAAGUAGCGGUGAAAUGCAUAGAUAUGUCACAGAACACCGAUUGCGAAGGCAGCUUACUAAGGUUUCAAUGACGCUGAGGCACGAAGGCGUGGGGAUCAAACAGG
rnacentral:rRNA from 1 species